rnacentral:rRNA from 1 species
GACGAACGCUGGCGGCGUGCUUUACCCAUGCAAGUCGGACGGGGGUGGCAACACCCUAGUGGCAGACGGCUGAGUAACACGUGAGUACCUGUCCAAUGGUGGGGGAUAGCCCCGCGAAAGCGGGGGUAAUACCGCGUAAGCUGGCCGAGAGGUCAGGAGAGCAGCGAUGCGCCGUGGGGGGGGCUUGCGGCCCAUCAGGUAGUUGGUGGGGUAAUGGCCUACCAAGCUGAUGACGGGUAGCUGGUCUGAGAGGCUGAUCAGCCAGACUGGGACUGAGAGACGGCCCAGACUCCUACGGGGGGCAGCAGGGGGGAAUCUUGGACAAUGGGGGAAACCCUGAUCCAGCGACGCCGCGUGGAGGACGAAGGUCUUCGGAUCGUAAACUCCUUUUGACGGGGAAGAUGAUGACGGUACCCGUCGAAUAGGCCCCGGCUAACUACGUGCCAGCCGCCGCCGUAACAC